rnacentral:rRNA from 1 species
UACGGAGGGUGCAAGCGUUGUCCGGAUUUAUUGGGUUUAAAGGGUGCGUAGGCGGCCCGUUAAGUCAGCGGUGAAAUCCCGGGGCUCAACCCCGGAACUGCCGUUGAUACUGGCGGGCUUGAGUUCGGUCGAGGCGGGCGGAACUGGCGGUGUAGCGGUGAAAUGCUUAGAUACCGCCAAGAACCCCGAUUGCGUAGGCAGCUCGCUUGGCCGAAACUGACGCUGAGGCACGAAAGCGUGGGGAGCAAACAGG